GACGAACGCUGGCGGCGUGCUUAACACAUGCAAGUCGAACGGAAAGGCCCUGCUUUUGUGGGGUGCUCGAGUGGCGAACGGGUGAGUAACACGUGAGUAACCUGCCCUUGACUUUGGGAUAACUUCAGGAAACUGGGGCUAAUACCGGAUAGGAGCUCCUGCUGCAUGGUGGGGGUUGGAAAGUUUCGGCGGUUGGGGAUGGACUCGCGGCUUAUCAGCUUGUUGGUGGGGUAGUGGCUUACCAAGGCUUUGACGGGUAGCCGGCCUGAGAGGGUGACCGGCCACAUUGGGACUGAGAUACGGCCCAGACUCCUACGAGAGGCAGAAGUGGGGAAUAUUGCACAAUGGGCGGAAGCCUGAUGCAGCAACGCCGCGUGCGGGAUGACGGCCUUCGGGUUGUAAACCGCUUUCGCCUGUGACGAAGCGUGAGUGACGGUAAUGGGUAAAGAAGCACCGGCUAACUACGUG
rnacentral:rRNA from 1 species